CACGUAGGGCGCAAGCGUUGUCCGGAAUUAUUGGGCGUAAAGAGCUCGUAGGCGGUCUGUUGCGUCCGCUGUGAAAACUCGGGGCUUAACCCCGAGCCUGCAGUGGAUACGGGCAGACUAGAGGUAGGUAGGGGAGAAUGGAAUUCCCGGUGUAGCGGUGAAAUGCGCAGAUAUCGGGAGGAACACCGGUGGCGAAGGCGGCCCCCUGGGCCGAACCUGACGCUGAGGCGCGAAGGCUAGGGGAGCGAACGGG
rnacentral:rRNA from 1 species